rnacentral:lncRNA from 1 species
AGCCGACCCAAAAACCCAAAUAAUAGAAACCUCAUUCUUAGUUUGGUGGAUUCUUAUUUAUAUUACAUUCAUGUACAAAUACAUGCCCACAUAUAGUUGCUUAAAUGAUAGCCUUGUACAUAUAGAUGGAUGGCCUCUAUUGAAGCAUAAAUCCUCUAUAGUCAUCAUGCAUUGCCAUUCCUAUGACUCAUGUGCCAUUAGUUAGGGAAUCAAGGCACAGCAUGCUCCAUCGUCGAAGUC